UGAGGAAUAUUGGUCAAUGGAGGAAACUCCGAACCAGCCAAGUCGCGUGAAGGAAGAAUGUCCUAUGGAUUGUAAACUUCUCUAGCGAGCGAGUAAGGACUUCUACGUGAUGGGCGUUUGAAAGUAGCCCGAGAAUAAGUAUCGGCCAACUCCGCGCCAGCAGCCGCGGUAAUACGGAGGAUACGAGCGUUAUCCGGAUUUAGUGGGUUUAAAGGGUGCGCAGGUGGUCCAGGAAGUCAGUGGUGAAGAGCUGAGGCUCAACCUCAGCCUUGCCGUUGAAACAGCAAGACUUUAGAGUACAUGAUGUGGGCGGAAUGCGUAGUGUAGCGGUGUAAUUCAUAGAUAUUACGCAGAACUCCGUUUACGAAGGGAGCUCACGAGGGUAUGUCUGACACUGAAGCACGAAAGCGGGGGGAGCAAGCAGG
rnacentral:rRNA from 1 species